rnacentral:rRNA from 1 species
UACGGGGGGGGCAAGCGUUGUUCGGAAUUACUGGGCGUAAAGGGCUCGUAGGCGGCCAACUAAGUCAGACGUGAAAUCCCUCGGCUUAACCGGGGAACUGCGUCUGAUACUGGAUGGCUUGAGUUUGGGAGAGGGAUGCGGAAUUCCAGGUGUAGCGGUGAAAUGCGUAGAUAUCUGGAGGAACACCGGUGGCGAAGGCGGCGCCCUGGCUCGCAACUGACGCUCAGACACGACAGCAUGGGGAGCGAACGGG